CCCGUCCGGCUGUUUCAAUGACUCAUACGGACGGGAACAAGGCAGGUGUCACUGGGCCAAAUCUGGGGAGAUGGAAUGCUACCUCUCCCUCCCAGCUGGGUUGCGUAAGGAAAGAGGCUUGUGCAACCGGCUUACAGAAACUUCCACUGUGGCCCUGGCUUCCCUGCUCUCGGCCAUAGUCUAUGGUGUUUGGUUUCCCGUCUUCACCCCACUGCCUUGGUGUCUAGAAGAAGAGGACAGACACAACGCAGGGAGACGCUGACAGGCAACCGUGAACCUCUGCAUUGGCAAAAAGGGGCAGCUCCAUUGCAAGUCACCCAUCUAUCCCACCCUGGAUGGCUUCAGCUGGCAGAGAGAACGGAUCUCUACACCACCAACUGUGAAGAUGCCAGUCCAGUUGGUAUCAAGUACCAACAAGCAUAAGAAACACUGCCUCAACUUAAGUCUACAUUUGAAUAUUAACUUCUGGCAUUAGUCCACCGGGCUCCAGAAUGUUGGCUAACUUGCCAGAUGUAAAGUACAAGGAGAAGCCUGGCUAUUUGAUGCUAUUUCUUAUCUAUGUAGGCCCCUAUCAUCCAAGUGCUAGUAUAUUAGCAUAUUUGCAAAAAAUCACUACCCAAUAGGAGAGCUUCUGUCUCAAUAGAUGGCAUCUGUGCAAUUUGAUAUUACUUUUUCCCUCCACACAUGAUAGAACUGUGCCUUGUUUAAUACGUUUUUGGGUUAAGAUAUUUAUUAGACUGAGAAAUGGCUAUUAAUAAGUGGCUAAGGGAAGUGUCCUCAAGUCUGACUUGUGGCUGUUGUCACACCUUUCCUGUUGAACAAAUGUGUCACAGUAGACAGUGGGUAAACGUUCCCUUUGUAAGUUACACAGGAUGUGAUGUUAAUAAUUAAUUUGUCUUUGUGGAUUAGCACUCAUAGUCUUUACAGACUGGUCCGGGUGGAACCUCACUCCACUCCUGUGAGGUAGCUAAUCCUGUCAUAUGCUUCGCACUUCCCAGCUAUCGGUUUCAAUGACCUCUACGAGAUAAGUGUGAAGCGGCAGAUGGUUCACAGUACUCAGUAACGUCCUAUGACAGUUUAGAAGAGGAAACCACGGAGGGACUUUCAUGGGGGCAAUGGAGGACUGCGGGAACUUUCCAGGAAAGUCAAGAGGAAAAAAGAAUGCCACUGCUGCCCACCAACAAUUUGGUGAGGAACCCGGGAGAAAAACGGAAAGAGAUUCUAAGGCUGUCAGUGGCGCAGUAUUUUCCAAGUGGUUUAAUCUGUGGCAUUGCUAAAAGCAGAAUGGAACCUGAAAACCCAGUAUAAUUUUAAGGGCUGAGCAAGAAGGACCACAUCAGCAGCUCUAUAACCUCGCAUAAGACUUGUGCAUCAUAACAUAGAUGUGUCUAGGGCAUCCAACAAUCUGGUCAAAUAUUUCUCAGGAGAACUGACCCACCUAGACCAUCCCAAAAAAGAGACCUCCUAGGACCACUCUCCUCUAGACUAUACACCUUUAGAGGUGCCAAAUGCUGGAGCUGAAUGGUUUCUGGAGCAACGGGAAGCAUAUAAUUAAUAUCAAUACUUUCCAGAGGCUUAAAAAAAUGUCCAGUGUCAACAUCUUUUACAAAAGUGAUUUUCAAACUGUGCUCAUGUUUUUCAUAGCCUGGUACCUUUUGAGAUGGUACAGUUGGAAAAUCAAUAAAACAUGAGCUGGGAGAUGCCAGGGUGGCUUGAGAGCUUUGUAGGAAGCACGGAGGAGUGCAAGGCAGAGCACACAAUACUUAGGCUGGAAGUAUGCGAACCUUUAGAGGUGCGUAUUUUUAGAGCUCCCUCAUGAAGCUCUAGUCCAACACAGUUUCACUGAUGGACAAAGUUAUCAGCUGGGGUCUUUGGGGUUUCAAGACAAGACAAACUAUUCUAUCCUCACGGUUUCCCCCCUUCUGACUUAAUUAACUAAAAUGUAAAUGAAAAUGGCCAGUUCAACAAGAACAUCGGAGUACAAUUUGCAGGAGAACCCUUCAUUGCCUUUCAAUCGAGUACAAUUCCCAGAAAUCUCAGGUUCAGGAGUCUGUGCUUCUGAUUCCCUGUAGAAAUUCUUUAUAUUUAGUCUACUUAUCUACCUGCAAGAUGUUUCUGUUCAAACACACACCAUAUACAUGUACUAUGCAUUUCCGUGUAACAGAAAUAUAUUAUUUCCGUGUUUGUUA